rnacentral:rRNA from 1 species
UACGUAGGGAGCGAGCGUUGUCCGGAAUUACUGGGCGUAAAGGGUGCGUAGGCGGCAUGGCAAGUCAGAUGUGAAAUCCCCGGGCUUAACUCGGGAGUUGCAUUUGAAACUGCUGUGCUUGAGUGCAGGAGAGGAAAGCGGAAUUCCUAGUGUAGCGGUGAAAUGCGUAGAUAUUAGGAGGAACACCAGUGGCGAAGGCGGCUUUCUGGACUGUAACUGACGCUGAGGCACGAAAGCGUGGGGAGCAAACAGGAUUAGAUACCCUGGUAGUCCACGCUGUAAACGAUGGAUACUAGGUGUGGGGGAGAUACAACCUCCGUGCCGCAGCAAACGCAAUAAGUAUCCCGCCUGGGGAGUACGGUCGCAAGGCUGAA